CAGAUGCCUAACAAACACAGGAAAAAAUGCUCAGCAUCACUAAUUAUUCAAGAAAUGCAAAUCAAAACUACAAUGAAAUAUCACCUCACGCCAAUCAAAAUAGACAUCAUCAAAAAGUAUACAAACAAUAAAUGCUGGAGAGGGUGUGGAGAAAAAGAACACUCCUACACUGUUGGUGGGAAUGUAAAUUGAUUCAGCCACUAUGGAGAAUAGUAAGGAGGUUCCU